UACGGAGGGUGCAAGCGUUGUCCGGAAUCACUGGGCGUAAAGGGCGCGUAGGCGGCUCAUGAAGGCUGUGGUGAAAGUCCGGGGCUUAACCCCGGAUCUGCCGUGCCGACUGUUAGGCUAGAGUGCUGUAGGGGCAGGCGGAAUUCCGGGUGUAGCGGUGGAAUGCGUAGAGAUCCGGAGGAAGACCGGUGGCGAAGGCGGUCUGCUGGGCAGUUUCUGACACUGAGGCGCGACAGCGUGGGGAGCAAACAGG
rnacentral:rRNA from 1 species